AUGCCCUCAAAGGGACAUGAACCCCAGAUUCCCAGGCAGGACCGUCAACUCCCUGAAGCAGAGGCCAAGUCCUAAAGCACCACUCCGGUUCAUUCCAGAGCUGACUCAGGCCCCGUGUGAGCAGCUGAUGGUGGGGGUUGUCCCAGGAGGUUAGUGGCCUGGAGGAAGGAAGUAGAAGUCACUGAGCACCUCCUGUGAGCUGGGUUCUUGAACCAUCUCCCCUAAUCCUCAGAAACCCUCUGGGGACAUUGUCUUUGUUAGCAUCCCCUUCCUGCAGAUGAGAGGAUGAAGGUUCACCUUUGGGGAGCUUACUGACCUUGCCCAAAGUCACACAGGUGCUACGGAGCCUCCCCUCUAAGCGCCAAGCCCACACUCUUUGCACUUGAGCAGGAGAAGAAAAGUGGGGGGCAUUCAUAGGAGGCUAGGGGCAAGCAGAGUGCAGACCCCUAGGGAUCACAUCGGGGGAGCCAGGUCUAGCCAGCAUGCCCAGACCUGAAGUUCUGAUCCCCUUCGGAGCCAAUCCCCAGUCCCCAGCGGGGUGCCCUAGGGACUGCGGGGGGUCCGAGAAGCAGUCCAUGGGCCGAGCACCCUUUCAGAGCCUCUCUCGGGCCCCGAGUGCCUCUCACCAGAGGUAGCAGGACUCUUUCAUAGGGUCUGUGAGAGCCUCGGGAGGCACAGGCCUCCAGGAAACCAGCACCCAAGAUAAGAGGGGAGAUGAGAGGUUUCCCCAGCAACGUGGAGCGUCCGGCUGACCAUGUGCAGGGGACAGGUGACACCACGACCUGGCCUCUCCACACCUCCGUGUCCGUGCCCUUCAUGUCACUACACAGCGUGGCCUUGGGUGAGUCACCGAGCCUCCCACAGCCUCAGCUUCCCCAUUUGUCAAGAAUGACAAACAACAACGUCCUCUCGGUGAGGCCCUUUCACCCCAGAAAAGAGGAAGUGGACGAUUCCUGAGAACCUUUAGCCGGAGGGGAAGCCGGCCCUGGGGAGAGCCGGGCUCUGCCCGUUGAGCAGUGAGGCCAGGUGUGCGCGUGAAGGGAGAGGGGCCCGGACAUGGACUGUGAAGCCGGCACCUGUCCCCUGAGUUCUCGCCUCCCCCAUCCGCUCCCUCCCAGCGUGCCUGGCCCCUGCCCUGGACACGCGUGGGCCCCUGGAGGUCUUCCCAGGCAGGGACAGAGGCGGGCGGAGGGCCUGGCAGGCUGGGCUCCGGGGACGGGCUUCAGGCCCCCUGGUCCCGCUCCCCCCUGCUG
rnacentral:lncRNA from 12 species